rnacentral:rRNA from 1 species
UUAAACUGGGGUUAAUACCGGAUAGGACCACGGGAUGCAUGUCUUGUGGUGGAAAGCGCUUUAGCGGUGUGGGAUGAGCCCGCGGCCUAUCAGCUUGUUGGUGGGGUGACGGCCUACCAAGGCGACGACGGGUAGCCGGCCUGAGAGGGUGUCCGGCCACACUGGGACUGAGAUACGGCCCAGACUCCUACGGGAGGCAGCAGUGGGGAAUAUUGCACAAUGGGCGCAAGCCUGAUGCAGCGACGCCGCGUGGGGGAUGACGGCCUUCGGGUUGUAAACCUCUUUCACCAUCGACGAAGGUCCGGGUUCUCUCGGAUUGACGGUAGGUGGAGAAGAAGCACCGGCCAACUACGUGCCAGCAGCCGCGGUAAUACGUAGGGUGCGAGCGUUGUCCGGAAUUACUGGGCGUAAAGAGCUCGUAGGUGGUUUGUCGCGUUGUUCGUGAAAUCUCACGGCUUAACUGUGAGCGUGCGGGCGAUACGGGCAGACUAGAGUACUGCAGGGAAAAACUGGAAAA